UGUCGGGAGUUAGGAAAUGCAAGGAUGUUAAUAGCGUUCUUGCUUGACUAAGGCUCCGGAGGAAGCCACGGCUAACUCUGUGCCAGCAGCCGCGGUAAUACAGAGGCGGCAAGCGUUGUUCGGAAUUAUUGGGCGUAAAGAGCACGUAGGCGGCUGUGUAAGUCGGUUGUGAAAGCCUUCCGCUCAACGGAAGAACGGCAUCCGAUACUGCAUGGCUUGAGUGUGGGAGGGGAGAGUGGAACUUCUGGUA
rnacentral:rRNA from 1 species